rnacentral:rRNA from 1 species
CAGCCACACUGGAACUGAGACACGGUCCAGACUCCUACGGGAGGCAGCAGUGGGGAAUAUUGGACAAUGGGCGCAAGCCUGAUCCAGCCAUACCGCGUGGGUGAAGAAGGCCUUCGGGUUGUAAAGCCCUUUUGUUGGGAAAGAAAUCCUGCCGGUUAAUAACCAGUAGGGAUGACGGUACCCAAAGAAUAAGCACCGGCUAACUUCGUGCCAGCAGCCGCGGUAAUACGAAGGGUGCAAGCGUUACUCGGAAUUACUGGGCGUAAAGCGUGCGUAGGUGGUUGUUUAAGUCUGCUGUGAAAGCCCUGGGCUCAACCUGGGAAUUGCAGUGGAUACUGGGCGACUAGAGUGUGGUAGAGGAUAGUGGAAUUUCCGGUGUAGCAGUGAAAUGCGUAGAGAUCGGAAGGAACAUCUGUGGCGAAGGCGACUAUCUGGGCCAACACUGACACUGAGGCACGAAAGCGUGGGGAGCAAACAGGAUUAGAUACCCUGGUAGUCCACGCCCUAAACGAUGCGAACUGGAUGUUGGGCACAACUUGGUGCCCAGUAUCGAAGCUAACGCGUUAAGUUCGCCGCCUGGGGAGUACGGUCGCAAGACUGAAACUCAAAGGAAUUGAC